rnacentral:rRNA from 1 species
AUCUACGGCCACGCUACCCUGAACAAGCCCCAUCCCAUCUGAUCUCGGAAGCUAAGCAGGAUCGGGCCUGGUUAAUAUUUGGAUGGGAAACCACUUAGGAAGACCAGGUGCUGUAGGCA